rnacentral:ncRNA from 2 species
UGUUCAUCAAGAGCAGCCGAGAGACUUGGCUCAGUGACGCUGCAGCCACCUACGGAAGCGGAAACCGAAAGGCAGCCGCCCGUAAAGGUGCUAAGGCCAAGACCGAUGAGAU